UACCAGCACCCCGAGUGGUCGGGACGAUUAUUGGGCCUAAAGCAUCCGUAGCCGGUUCUACAAGUCUUCCGUUAAAUCCACCUGCUUAACAGAUGGGCUGCGGAGGAUACUAUAGAGCUAGGGAGGCGGGAGAGGCAAGCGGUACUCAGUGGGUAGGGGUAAAAUCCGUUGAUCCAUUGAAGACCACCAGUGGCGAAGGCGGCUUGCCAGAACGCACUCGACGGUGAGGGAUGAAAGCUGGGGGAGCAAACCGG
rnacentral:rRNA from 1 species